UCUCUCUCCACCUAUCCUGUCUUAAUAUUGACGGGACUGCUGACCUCCCCAGCUCCCAUCAGACUGUUAAUCAUUGACUGAAGGAAGAGGAUUUAAUGGGUGGGAGCUGGAGCAGCUGCGCAGACACACAGCCAUGGGUAGCUCAGUCCUCCUGCUCGUGCUGCAGCUCCUGCUGGCCACUGUGUCUCCUCUCAAAAACCCAAGGACUGUGACUGUUCAGCCAGGGAGAGGGGCCCUGCACACCAGAGGUCUGGCCACAGGGAACGUGCUUCUCCUGGACUCCUGAUAUCACAUAUCACGGACACCAGCCUCUCCUCCUUGGUGUCUUGCUGUAGCAGCCAGCAUAAUCAAAAACCCCACCCACCUGGGACAUUCUCUCUUCUCUUCCAUCAGGCAGAAGACACAGGAGCCUGAGGGCACGUACCACCAGACUUAAGGACAUCUUCUACCCCACUGUGAUAAGACUAUUGAACAGUUCCUUUAUACGAUGAGAUGGACUAUGACCUCACGAUCUACCUUGUUGUGACCUUGCACCUUAUUGCACUGCACUUUCUCUGUAGCUGUGACACUACUCUGUACUGUUAUUGUUUUACCUGUACUACGUCAAUCCACUCUAUACUAACUCAAUGUAACUGCACUGUGUAAUGAAUUGACCUGUACAAUCAGUUUGUAAGACAAGCUUUUCACUGUACCUCGGUACAACUGAAAAUAAUAAACCA